rnacentral:rRNA from 1 species
GAUCAUGGCUCAGGAUGAACGCUAGCUACAGGCUUAACACAUGCAAGUCGAGGGGCAGCAUGAAAGGAACUUCGGUUCUUUUUGAUGGCGACCGGCGGCACGGGUGCGUAACGCGUAUCGAACCUGCCUCAGUACUCGGGGAUAGCCUUGCGAAAGUAAGAUUAAUACCCGGCGGUCUCGGACGGCCGCAGUGACAGUCCGAGUGAAGAUUUAUCGGUAUGAGAUGGGCGAUGCGUCCCAG